GCAGCCUGACAACUAACAUAGCAGGUCCCUAUCUAGCCAGUGGCUUAACUGCCUUCCUCUCCCAGGUCUAAGAAACUGCAGCAUGAGAUGGAUCUGGCCACAGCCCACGAAGAGAGUGUCCUGCAGAAAGACCUGCUGAGUCAUGAGCCCCCUGCUGAGCCCCAUCCCCAGAAACCACAGGAUCCCUUGGGAUCCAUCCUAAAGAAGCAGAUGACUGACAGUGCAUCCUU
rnacentral:lncRNA from 1 species